GCAUAUCAAUAAGCGGAGGAAAAGAAACUAACAAGGAUUCCCCUAGUAACGGCGAGUGAAGCGGGAAGAGCUCAAAUUUGAAAUCUAAUGGCCUCAGGUCAUUCGAGUUGUAAUCUAUAGGAACGUUUUCCGUGCCGGCUCAUGUACAAGUCCCUUGGAACAGGGCGUCAUAGAGGGUGAGAAUCCCGUACUUGACAUGAACUACCGGUGCUCUGUGAUACGUCUCCAACGAGUCGAGUUGUUUGGGAAUGCAGCUCAAAAUGGGUGGUAAAUUCCAUCUAAAGCUAAAUAUUGGUGUGAGACCGAUAGCGAACAAGUACCGUGAGGGAAAGAUGAAAAGCACUUUGGAAAGAGAGUUAAAAAGUAUGUGAAAUUGUUGAAAGGGAAACGAUUGAAGUCAGUCAUGUCCUUCAGAUUCAGCUGGUUCUGCCGGUGUAUUUCUGUUGGAUGGGGUCAACAUCAGUUUUGGAUGCCGGAUAAAGGCAGGAGGAAGGUAGUACUCUCGGGUAAACUUAUAGCCUCCUGUUGCAUACGGUGACUGGGACUGAGGAACGCAGCUUGCCUUUAUGGCCGGGGUUCGCCCACGUACAAGCUUAGGAUGUUGACAUAAUGGCUUUAAA
rnacentral:rRNA from 1 species